rnacentral:rRNA from 1 species
AUUGAACGCUGGCGGCGUGCUUAACACAUGCAAGUCGAGCGGUAACAGGCGUAGCAAUACGUGCUGACGAGCGGCGAACGGGUGCGUAAUACAUCGGAAUCUGCCUAGUAGUGGGGAAUAACCCGGCGAAAGCCGGGCUAAUGCCGCAUACGAUCCACGGAUGAAAGCGGGGCGUUCGGUCCGUCGCGCUAUUAGUAUGAG